GGGGCGGCUCACAUGGGCACAGGCCUAGCAUCAACAUACAGUAAAUUCAUAAUUUAAAAACAAUAUAAAAAUAAAACAAUAUUGUACAAUAUAAAACAGCAUAAACUAUAUCAAAUCCUAAAAACCCAAACAUAGUAGGGCUUAUACAUACUCUGCGUGAUGCUCGAGGAAAGUAAGGGCGAUCAGGGAAGGUAAGCAAAACUCAUUAAAAAGAAUUAAGAGUCAACACAAAUGGGGACAAUGAUAAGGUGCAACAAUUAUAACAAGGUAAACAACUGAUAUAGACUAUUUAUUCGAAGGCGGAUUGAAAUAGGUCCUUACGAAAAAUGGACAGAAUCCCUAAUACGACUCUUAUGAUCUUACAAUGCAAGAGAUUCUGCUUCAGAUUGUAAAAUAGCAAUUUCUUUAUUCAUGUCCUUCACUUUCAUAAGGAGUCCUGUGUCCCUAACCCCAGUGAAUGUGAAAGGUAGACUACAUAAAUAUUAGAAGUGUGCAAUUUGGGGAAAACCUAUACCGUUUUCAGUAUACCGGUGUCGAUUUUCGGUCAGCCUUCAUUCCGUUUUUCGGGAACUUCCUGAAAUCAAGAGGGGGACAACACUGUUUCUUGAUCCGUUCGUUCUGUUUUCGCUCCGGGAAGAUCCAGAAGUGAAAGUGGUAAUGGGAAAACUUCCGGGAAUUCCCUUUCCAUCAUUUUUAGGACUAUACGGAUGAAAAUGGCCACACUUGGAGGAAACAUUCACGACUGCAAGUCCCCCAAGUUUGGUCUUCCACGGAUUUUUAGGAAAUUUUUUAAAGUUUUUUGUGGGGAAGGAAGGUGCAGAACAGAGUACAGAAGCACGAAGAUUGCUAGAGUUGAGGAGGGAUUGAAGUUGAAAUACUAAUAGUCUCCCUGUGGGAACUCAAGGCAGUCAAGCCAUCUCCUCCCUUCCCUAAACCACCCCGAAGGUAAAAAAAUAUUUAAACACCUCCCAAAAAAUGCCUUUUCACAGCCCUUCCAAACUCACAUGCAAUGCACCCUCACCUUCUUAACCAAAUAGUAAAAAAGAAGAACUGAAAGAUAUUAAACUAAGAAACUUUAAGAAAAUUGCAAAAAAAAAAAAAAAGAUUGGAAUUGAGUCAAAAAAUGAUUCUAAGCAGUGAUUGCACUGAGGUAGAACACAGAGCUAGCUAGCACAAUUUCUCUGUCUCUCAAAUGCCAGGACAUCACAGAAAAAUAGAGAAUCUUACCCUGGUAUAUAUAGACCAGCUUGGCAAAAAGACCCUUGAUCUGCUUUUUUGCUCUGAUUGACUCAGGCAGAGCUAAGGGAAGGAAACCCUGUGCACGUGGUUGCUACCAUGGCACAGACUAAGCAACAAAAAGCAUCUGAUUUCAGCCACUACAUGGUCCGUUUUGGUCAAGUCAAUUAUGUCAGAGUAUUUGCAACGCAGCAAUAGUUGGAUGGAAUCAGUGGAACGCAGAACGAAGUGACAUCCAGAGACUUUGGUAAAACUAUAUACAAGUUUUACUGUAAGCAAUAAUAAUCAAGACAAACAGACUUGCAGACAAACACAGGACUUGACUUUCACUCUAGGCAGACAGACCGCAACUCUACUCAGGACUGAACUGAUGCAAUCAGUAAUGCACAAACAGUUGUGUCUGGACACUCCCCAGUUCCAGCCACACAUCAAGGUCAUUACAGCUUCUUAGUAAUUAACUCUUUCCAGACUAUGCUACACUCUGGAUGAUGCAAUCAGUAUGCAAUACAGGAAAGACACAAAUUGCAUUUAAACACUAUCAAUACACAAAUCCCACAUUAACAAAUUCAAGCCCUGUCGUUCGUCCUGUUUCUGGAGAUUCGGUUUUCGGAACUGCCGAAAUUCCCGGAUCCAGUUUUGGAAAGAGGUUACUACGUGCACACCCCUACCAAAUAUCAAAUUUGACCAAACUUAGUUUAUAAAUUAUCAAUUCUACAGCCAAAAUAAAUAAAUAAAUGCUUUAAAAAUCCUCAACAUCCAACCUGUUACCUACUUCUCCCCCUUUUUUGAUCUUAAAUGGGCGAUUGCUGAAACACUGUGCCUGCUGCCGACUUGAGCUGUAGUUUAUUAGAAGAAUGUUCAUAAUCCUAAUAUCAACGAGUUCGAAGAAAUAUUUCAGAUUCCAGCAUCUUGGCAUAUGAUUUUUCUGGAGUUUGCAUGCCUACUGCAGUUCUGGAGACCGUGCCGUUUUCACAGUUGCUGCUGUACGUUGCUUAUUGAUUUGAACCCUAUGAAUUCUGUAAGGUUUUCUUAGGCAAGGAAUACUGCUCUCAGAAGUGGUUUGCCAUUGCCUUCCUCUGAAAUACAGCCCGCAACACAUGGUAUUCCUUGGUGGUCCGUCAUCCAAACGCUAAUCAAAACCUAGACUUGCUUUCUUUCCAAGAUCAGAGUGGCAUCUGGUGCCUUCAGGACAUUUCAGCUUGGCUUUAUUAUAAGCUCAGAUGUUAUAACCUCCUCUGCAUGCAAACCUGAAAAUGGCAUUUACCGGACAGAGACUAUUUGGAUCUUGUUUUAAACCAGACUUUUGCAGAUUGAUUUUAGCACCAAAUUUUAAAGAUGUUGAAGAAUGAGCUAUUAUCUAUAGUCUCUACACUGCAAUCUGUGUUUAGAGCAAGGUGAGAGAAAAGAGACUUAAGCCAGAGGUCUGGAUGUGGGGCAAUGGCGUGGUGCCAAACUAAGAGGGUUGAAUGAAAAGUAAUGCCUCCACCUUCGUAACUCCUCAACAGAUGGCAGUCCUGGUAUGUAGCAGGUACUGGCUUGUUCAGUAGACUCUCCUCUACAGUUCCAUUUGGCGGGAAGCCUUAGCAUUGAACGGUUGUGUUGUUAAAGUGCAAAGUAUGGAACCCUGUGCAGAUGGUUGGUCAAUGCGACUUAAGCAACAUGCAGUCAUUGAAUUCUUGACAGCAGAAGGUGUCACCCCAAAGGAGAUUCUUCAGAGAAUCCAUCUGUUCUCCAUAAUGAAAGAAGAUCUGUGGGGAAAUCAUUAUGCUUCUGAUGAAGACGUUGAGAGAACUGUGAGACGCUGGUUGCGGAAACAGAGUGUCGACAUCUUCUGUGAUGGCUUCAGAAAACUUGUUCAUCGUUGGCAGAUAUGUAUCCAAUUGUCUGGUGAUUAUGUGGGAAAGGGAAUAGUGGUAGUUAAAGAGCACAUUCUAAGAAUUAUUUCUGCGUUUGAUUUAUUAAAAUAUUCCCAUACAAACCCAAGUAACGAAGGUGGAGGCAUUACUUUUCAUUCAACCCUCGUAUAUUCGUUCUACAGUGUAGAUGCACCCUGUGUUUUAAAUAGUUUGUAUAGUAUUUUAUAGAGCCAGUUUUGUGGAGUGUUGAACUAUGGCUCUGGAGACUGAGGUUCAAAUUGCUGCUCAGUCAUGGAAACCCACAGAGUAACCUUGGGCAAAUCGCACUUUCUCCAUAAACACAUUCUCAACACACAUCUUGCCAAGAAAACUCCAUGAUACGUUUGCCUUAGAGUUUCCACAAGUCUUGAAGGCACACAAAAACAGCAUUUUAAAUUGUUUGUAAUGCACGCUGUCCAAGGAUCCUGUGACAAAGUGGCUUCUCCCAGAUGUGAAACCACCUUGUUGUUGGAAACCAUCUUGCCCUCCUUUGUGUUUGUUUAGCAACGAGGCAAAGGCUUUUCAUAAAAUCAUUAAAGCUUUUUGCAAUAGAUGCGGCACAGGAAGGCGCUUUGUAGGUGGCAUUGUUGUGUUGUUGUUUUUCUCCACCCAAUUGGUUUUAAAUUUAUUUGGGCGGUUUGUUUUCAUAUGGUAAUCUGUUUCAUUGUACUUUAAUAUCGCAGCUUGUUGGGUAUGUUUGCUUUUUGUAAGCUGUCUUGUGCAUAUUUAUGCGUGCCUUUGCCUUCCUAGUCGCUUGUUGACUUUUGGCAACCGUGAAUUUCAUAGUUGGGAAAACUCAGUGAUGGUUUUGCCAGCUUUCUACAAAAUGGUGCCCCAACUUUUUGCCAGGUUCCCACCAUAUCAUUGGAUUUGCUCUAGUUGGAAUUAACUAUAAAUACUUUUUGUAGUUUCUCCAGAUUAUGUUGGGUCACAAUUCCCAGCAUCUCUUACUCUUGGUUAUGCUGCUUAUGGCUGCUGGACUGGUAGUCUAUUAAUGUCUGCAUGUUUUCCACCCCUGAAUUUGGCAUUAAAUUAUAGGGCACUUGCCGGGUGUGUGCCUGUGCUAUAUGAUGGCUGGAAUGUCUUAUUGCAUAGGUAUUUCGUGAGUAUGUUUAGUGAAUGUCCAUUGCAGGUGACCCUUUCCAUUUAAGCCUACAGAUGAUAAUUUGGGAAUUGCAACCUUUGUUAAGGCCAGUUGUUGCAAGCUGCAAGUUAUCUGUUCUUGUUGGCUUUACUUUUUACACCAUCAGUGUUAGGGAUUCCUCUUCUUCAGAAAGUGUUCAUGAAUCUGAGGGUGAGUUGGAAUCUGAGGAGGAGACUUUGCAAGUACCCUCAUUUCAGGAAAGGUGAAAGGAAACAGAGCAGAGACAUCAUUCAGCUAGAUUAGCUGCCAGAAAUGCAGCUGAGUAAUUAGGAAUUGCCCUGGCAGCUGUGAGGGGACUCAGGGCUAUAAAGCAGAAGCAGGUGCAGUCAGGUCUUGCUGGUAACAAACUGACUCUAAUGCCUUCGCUCCCCGUGUGCCUGCUUCGAGUUUGCAUCUGGAUUUAUUGCUGUUUCUUUGUCUGAAGUAAGACUGCUAUUUGAUUUGCGAGUUUAUCAGGCACUAAGAACUGUGUUUGCAAGACUUCCUUGCUUCAUUUUGCAUUAUUCCACUGAGUGUGCUGUACUUUAUGUUUUGCUGAAGUAAAGCAGUUUUCAUUUACUUACCACAGUGUUUUAAGGAUGUUCUUGAAAGGCAAAACAGGACAAUCAGAAACCAUUUGCCCUGAGUAAUCUGGUUUGUUGCUGUCCCCUUCCUCGUACCAACCAAUUGAAUUUUGCUUUCUUUUGGAAAAUUUCAAGGAGUGUGGUGUUGCGGCAAAAACAAUGACAAUGUCUUGCAACACCCUGAAGACAAACAAGUUCAGCAUGGUGGGGCUUUUUGAGAAUUCCCAUCCCAUUUCGUCAUAUGGCAAUCCAUUCUAUGUGCCUCUCAUGAAAAGAGUUGAAAGUCCACAAAAACCUGUGUCCAGCCUGCUUCUCUUCAAGUUGCCACAAGCAUGUAUUGGUUUUUCUGAAUUUAAAGGUCUAAUAGACUAAUAAAGUUGGAAAGGGUCCUACAAUCCACGAAGGGUGUGUUUACAUGGAUAAAACAACCUAGACUCAUCUUGAAUUCAGCUCUCUGAUAGUCUACAUCAGGGCUUUGUGGUCUUUUAGACAACUAAAUCAGGUCCAUUUUGGCCAAAUCUGUCAUCCAGAUGGUCACUACUACAAUCCCACUUUCCCUUCGCUCAUGAACUCAUCCCUUGCUACCACUGGUCACUGCACUCUGGGGAAGCGCUUGGCCAUUGUGUUUGUGUCCCAUUCAGCGCACCAUAGUUCAAAAAGGAUAUUGACAAAUUGGAUGGUGUCUAGAGAAGGAUGGCCAAAAUAGGCCACAGCCUUUUAGAGAGCUGCGAGUGUUUAGCUUGGAGAAGAGGUUGAAAGAGGGGACAAUGAUGGUGAUGUUUAAAUAUCUGAAAGGGUGGCAUGUUGAAGACAGGGCAAGCUUAUUUUUUGCUUCUUUGGAGACUAGAACACUGAGCAAUGGAUCCAGUUCAACGGUGGACUAUGCUGCCUUGGAGUGUGGUGGAAUUUUCUUCUCGGGAAAAUGUUUAAGUAGAGGCUGGAUUGCCAUUUGUCAGGAGUGUUUUGGUUUCCUGCAUAGCAAGAGGCUGGACUUGAAUAGUGGCCUCUUCCAACUUAUUGAGUUUGUGAUUUCCUGCCCAUUCCGAUAUCAGAAUCGGGUGACCGUGAAACCAGCAAGAUUCUUUCUAUCUCUUCCUUGUUGAUUAUGAGGAUACUUCUUUAAGAUCUCAGAAGGUCAUGGCAGGAAACUCACAAGGAACUCUGUGGCCAGAGGGGAACAACCAUGAGGACAAAGCAAUGGGAUGGUUCAGGUUGGGCCAUCUGGACACUUGGCAUUGAGCAGGUACAUGCUAUAUCUUGGGCAACUUCAAGAAGGAAAUACCUUGGAGUAACCUAUGUAGAUGCAACAUGAGCCAACUCAUUUCAGGACCUCCAACUAGAGCAGAGCUUUGCAAACUGUGUGUCACAACAUGUUAGUGUUUCAGCUGCAGUGUGUAGGAUUUGUUGUGUGUGGGGGUUUUUUGUGUGUCAGGAGCUACUUGAGAAACUGCAAGUUGUUUCUGGUGUGAGAGAAUUGGUUGUCUGCAAGGACAUUGCCCGGAGAUGCCCAGAUGUUUGAUGUUUUAUCAUCCUGUGGGAGGCUUCUCAUGUCCCUGCAUAGGGAGCGGGAGCUGACAGAGGGAGCUCAACCAGCUGACAUUGGAUUCAAAUAGCUGACCUGUUGUUCAGUAGUCCUGCUGGCACAAGGAUUUAACCCAUUGAAAGUUUUCAUGAGCGAUGUUAUUACAGUGUAUGUAUGUGCCCAUAUCUCUUAUAAGGGGUUGGUUUAAUCUCUAGUUUGUUAGUAAAAUUGGAUUACUGUGUUGCCAAACGAUGCACGUCUAAAAAAGCAUGCAGCCAACAUGAAAUGUUUGGAAAGCUCUGGACUAGAGUAUUCUUCAUAUGCAGCUUUUUAAGUUUAUUCUAGAAAUGUCUAGGGAAAGAAAGAGACAAAGAUUUCAUUCAAUCCUAUCAAGAGAUUACUGUUUGGCUGAAACAUUUCCAGGCUGUUGGUUUUGCUGACCUGUACCUGCAACCCUCUCCAUCACCUUUGUCCCUUUGGGAGCUCAAUCCAGCCUCUUUCACAGCAUCUAUUCUUCCGCUGGUUGUAGGUUUCAACAGAUAAGGAGAUCUUAUGUACUCAGCCGGCAGCGGAUCAAGAUAUUGGCUUGCAGCAGCUUUCAGCAGUUAUCCUGACUUCCUUCCUUGUCCAUCAAGAGCUCAGUUGUAUGGACUGGGAGGGAGAUAUCUGUUUCCUUAAAGCGCAUGGCCUGCAUCUUGCACACAGACACAGACACAGGGAAAAAUAUGAUUUAUAGCUCCCUCUUCCACAGAAGAGCUCAGGGCAGUUGAAGAACCCUACAUAAUAAGCACAGUGUCGAAACCACAAAUUACAGAUGACUAAAAUUAGUCUUUAAAAAUCUACACGGUUGCAUGCGUCUGAAAUAACAAACGUCUAAAACCGUAAAUCACUGCUAUGUGCUAAAAUGCCAUCGAAGCAACUGCAAACAGCAGCAAAGACAAAUGAAUCAUUUGCAUCAUUCCCUGUAACGUUGUAUGAUUUUAACCUGCACCUGAAAGAUGGACGUUUUUAGGGAUUCAUAAUAAUAAUAAUAAUAAUAAUAAUAAUAAUAAUAAUAAUAAUAAUAAUAAUAACAACUAUGUGGCCCAAAUGAUUCAUUGGAACUUAUGCCUCAAGUACCACCUCCCAGCAGUAAAGAACUGGUGGGAUCACAAACCUGCAAAGGUUGUGGAAAAUGAGCACGCAAAGAUACUGUGGGACUUCUGAAUCCAGACUCACAAAGUUCUGGAAUACAACACACCAGACAUCACAGUUGUGGAAAAGAAAAAGGUUUGGAUCAUUGAUGUUGCCAUCCCAGGUGACAGUCGCACUGAUGAAAAACAAGUAAAACUCAGGACCUCAAGAUUGAACUUCAAAGACUCUGGCAGAAACCAGUGCAGGUGGUCCCGGUGGUGAUGGGCACACUGGGUGCCGUGCCAAAAGAUCUCAGCCGGCAUUUGGAAACAAUAGACAUUGACAAAAUCACGAUCUGCCAACUGCAAAAGGCCACCCUGCUGGGAUCUGCGCGCAUCAUCCGAAAAUACAUCACACAGUCCUAGACACUUGGGAAGUGUUCGACGUGUGAUUUUGUGAUACGAAAUCCAGCAUGUCUAUCUUGUUUGCUGUGUCAUAAUAAAAUAAUAAUAAUAAUAAUAAUAAUAAUAAUAAUAAUAAUAAUAAUAAUAACUUUAUUCUUAUACCCCGCCCCAUCUCCCCGAAGGGACUCGGGGCGGCUUACCUGGGGCCUUGCCCAACACAACAAUGUAACAACAACAACAAGACAAUAAAACAAAUAUCCCAACAAUAAAACAUCAGUCUCCGAUGGAAGGAAAUUCAUAACAGGAAUACCAACAAGUAAAUCCUUCCAUAUACUUGUUAGGAAACCAUUGCCAACGGAAAUCCAGCCCAGUAAGCAGUCUUGUCUAGUGUUUUGGGCAUUGUAAAAUACUCAAGGGAGAUAGAAGAAUGAAACUGAAUUCCAUUUGCCACCCCAAAAUCUUAAAUAAAGUUGAAAGACACCUCCCAGGGCUCUCCAGUCACAGUCCAAGCUUUCCUAACAGAUGUCCAUCCAGCCUUCCUUUAAACACUUCCAAAGAAGGAGAGACUUUGGAAGUAUUCCAUUAGAAUUGGAAGGACCCCAAAGACCAUCCAGUCCAACCCCUUCUGCCAUGUUGGAAGACACAAUCCAAGCUUUCGUUGUGUAUCUUGUUGAUUCUAUGGUAUAAUGAUACUAGAAGUUGACCUGAGAGCUGUACUGAAGAACCUAGAGAUGACAAAGAGGUCUUCUUCCUAGGCAUUUUCUAGGUCCUCUAGUAUGAUUCUGUGGUAGGCUUCCAUCACAUGUGGACCACAGAAUUGCCUUGGAAGGCCUAUAUUACACUAGAUUUUGAAGGGAACCCCAAAGAUCACUCAAGUCCUCCUUGUGUGUCUCGUUGAUUCUAUGGUUUGAUGCCACCAGAAGUUAACCACUGGAAGACCAAGACAUGCUAGAAAAUGUUCUCCGUAGGCAUGUUCUAAAUCCUCCAGCAUGAUUUUGUAACACUAUGUAACAGAAUUUUUGUUCCUGGGUUAUAAAUGUCAUUUCCUAAUUGGUUCUGUCAUUAAAACAUGGAAAAGGUUUGUAAAACUGCAAAAACUUUGUAUUAGUGGGACAUUGUACAGCACAUUUUGCUGUAGUUUUGCAAUGAAUAUCUCAGAGUCUUGACCAAUUCAACAUAGUUUAUUGGCAACCACAAAUACGAAGUUUCUGGAAUAUAACAACUACUUUCAAAGUAAGGACCGCACAAUUAAACAGAAAAUAACACUUUCAAACUAGGAACAGAUUUUUUUUUUCAAAUUUUAUUAUUUAGUGCAGGGAUCCUCAAACUUUUUAAGCCGAGGGCCGGUCCACAAUCCUUCAGACUGUUGAGGGGCCGGAUUAUCAUUUGAAAAAAAAAUACAAACAAAUUCCGAUGCACACUGCACAUGUCUUAUUUGUAGUGCAAAUUUAAAAAUAAAAACAAUUUUAACCAACAUACAUUUAUCAGGAUUUCAAUGGGAAGUGUAGUCCUGCUUCUGGCCAAUGAGAUAGUCAAGUUAAUUAGGAUUGUUGUUGUUGUUGUUGUUGUUGUUGUUGUUGUCGUGUGCCUUCAAGUCAUUUCAGACUUUGGGUGAGCCUAAGUCUAAAAUUUAUUUAUUUAUUAUUUAUUUAUUUACUGCAUUUAUUUACUACAUUUGUAUCACACCCUUCUCACCCCAAAGGGGACUCAGAGUGGCUUACAAAUUAUAUGUACAUACAAUAUAUUAUAUUAUUAGCAUAGCACAAUAUUACCAUUAUAUAUUACUAUAUUGAACUAUACCACUAUACUAUAAUAUUAUUAGUAAUAUUAUAUGUAAUAUAAAAUAUAUAAUUAAUAUUAUUAUAUGGUAUUAUUAUUAGUGUUAUAUUGUAUUAUAUUAUAAUAUUAUUAUCAAUAUUAUAUGUAUAUACAAUAUAUUAUAUUAUAAAACUGAGGGCAGGGGCCAGGUAAAUGACUUCGGAGGGCCGCAUCCGGCCUCCGGGCCUUAGUUUGGGGACCCCUGAUUUAGUGUGAUAUGCUUCUACCAGAUGUUGACAUGCUGGGGAAUGUAGAAAUACUAGAGAUGUGUUCUGUCCAGCCAUUGUCAAAGUCCUCCUGUGUAAUUCAGCACAGGAGAAUCUAGAAAUGCUUCCUCCAGAAAUCAUUCAUUUUGAUAGGGUUCACCAUUAUCUGUUGUUUCAUGUUUCCAUGGUAAGUCUGGGAAUGUAUUCCCCGCCGAUAUGGGGCUUUUACGUGAUAUCUCUUGCAAGGUGUCCUUUCGAAUCUGUUUGGGAUCCCUUUUGCUGGUGACUUUGGUUUCCGAGAAUUGGGAGAAACCUGUCUCCUCCUUUUCUUUCUGGGCGAGGCAUUAGGCAAACCCAUGAUCAAAUAUGGAAGAGGUAGUUUGUUUGACCACAGAGGAGUGAGUCAUUCGGCUAAUUGAAGCUCAGUGUAAAUUGGCGUUGCCUGAACAGGAGGCUUAUUGGAAUUGCUAAACACCAGCUAGACCUUAAAUAAACAGAUGGCUCCUAAUAGAUAAACACAAUAAUUUAACUUUAUGUUAAAUACAUACACACAACAUGCAUAAAUAUAUACAUACAUACAUAAAUACAUAUAGUACUUUCCCCUUUUGCAAAGUUUCUUUUUUCAACCAGGAGAAGCUGCUUUACUCCACAAAUGAAUUUUAAUAUAUUUUGAGAAUUCUGGGAAUCCUUCAGCAUGACUUUAUUGUCAACAUGCAAAGGAUUUUGGAUCUGGGGAAGUACUUAUUCUCACUCUUCAUACUAUACAUAUGAUAUGAAUGUUUUAAUAUAUAACUGUGUUUUUGUCAUUGAAAUAUUGCUAGAUUGAUGUCAAGUUUCACCAACAUGCAGAGCAAUGUGAUAUCUGAUUCUGCAGUACUCAAACCAUAACACUUUGUUGUCUCUCUUAGUGAGUAUAAGGUAGCUUUGAUAUUUUUUAAAGCAUGUGUGUGUUUGUGCACAUAUGUUUUUAAUUCUAAGGCAGCGGAAUUUCCCUUCUGCCCAAUGGAACAAUUAAUGGAAGCCUGCGUGUUAGAUCUAAACAGUCUGAUUCUUCCGCUGGGAACAGUUCAUAAUGUUAGUAGUGUGCCAAUGCUAAAAUAUCACAAGGAGAAUGAGGAAAUAGUGACAGGGCCAAGAAAAAGGUUCUUGCUGAAGGCAUACUAAAAUGAAACUCGCCCAACCCACCCCAGAUAUGUUGGACUACGGCUCCCAUCAGCCCUAGCUGUGUGGAAGUUGUAUUUUGAGGUGAUGCUUGACCAGACAACGCUGGGAAAAAGGGGACAUUUUCACAUGAUAUAACACGUUGGGUCCCACUUUAACUGCCAUGGAAAUAUCCUAUAGAAUCCUGUCAUGCAGCUUAGGGAAGCAUUGUGUUUAUUAUAGAACUAAAAGUUAAAAUGUGGUUAUACAUGUGAGUUACAUUAUGUGCAAUAAGUAGGUUGGGAGAGUUGAAAAUAUGAAAUGUUUGAAUGUAGGCUAGGAAUGCUAGAAGGUAGGGUGAUUGGUCAGAAUGAGGAGAUAGAGUUUGACUGGGAAGAGAUUGGGGUUUGAUUGCAGAGAGGUCAAGAUUAGCGUGACUGGAGGAGAGAUCAGGGUUAGACUUAGACAGCAGAGAAAUCAGAGUUAAACUGGGGAGAGAUAGGGUUAGAGUGAGUGCAGAGAGAUCAUGGUUAGAGUUAGACUGGGGAGAGAUCAGGGUUAAAGUGAAUUCGGAGAAGGGAGGGUUAGUUAGACUAGGGAAAGAAAAGAGUAAGUUCAGAGAGAUCAGGGUUAGAGGUAGAUUGCGGAGAGAUCAGGGUUAUUGUUAGACUGCGGAGAGAACAGGGUUAGAGUUAAAUUGCAGAAUGCUCACGGUUAGCUAGACGGGAGAGAUCAGGGUUAGAGUAAGUGUAGAGAUAUCGGGGUUAGUUUUAGACUGCAGACAGAUUGGAGAGAUCAGGGUUAGAGUAAGUUUGGAGAGAUCAGGGUUAGUGUUAGACUGGAGAGAUCAGUGUUAGUUAGAUGGGAGAGAUCAGGGUUAGAGUAAGUGUGGAGAGAUCAGGGUUAGUUUAGAGUAAGUGUAGAGAGAUCAGGGUUAGUGUUAGACUUCAGAGAGAUCAGGGUUAGUUAGAUGGGAGAGAUCAGGGUUAGAGUAAGUGUGGAGAGAUCAGGGUUAGUGUUAGACUGAUCAGUGUUAGUUAGAUGGGAGAGAUCAGAGUUAGAGUAAGUGUGGAGAGAUCAGGGUUAGAGUAAGUGUGGAGAGAUCAGGGUUAGUGUUAGACUGGAGAGAUCAGUGUUAGUUAGAUGGGAGAGAUCAGGUUUAGAGUAAGUGUAGAGAGAUCAGGGUUAGUGUUAGACUUCAGAGAGAUCAGGGUUAGUUAGAUGGGAGAGAUCAGGGUUAGAGUAAGUGUGGAGAGAUCAGGGUUAGUGUUAGACUGGGGAAAGAUCAGGGUUAAUGUUAGACUGAGGAGAGAUCAGGGUUAGUGGCGCAGACUGGAUAGCGUCCAGCUGCAACAAAUCACUCUGACAAGAGGUCAUGAGUUCGAGGCCAGCCCGUGCCUGCAUCUGUCUCUGUUCUGUGUUAUGGCAUUGAAUGUUUGCCUUAUAUGUGUGCAAUGUGAUCCGCCCUGAGUCCCUUUCGGGGUGAGAAGGGUGGAAUAUAAAUACUGUAAGUAAAUAAAUACAUAAAUAAACAGUAUUAGAUUGCAGAGAGGUCAGGGUUAGUGUUAGACUGUGGAGAGAUCAGGGUUAGAGUAAGUGUGGAGAGAUCAGGGUUAGUCUUAGACUUCAGAGAGAUCAGGGCUAGUUAGACAGGAGAGAUCAGGGUUAGAGUAAGUCUGGAGAGAUCAGGGUUAGUGUUAUAGACUCCGGAGAGAUCAGGGUUAGAUGGGAGAGAUCAGGGUUAGAGUAAGUGUGGAGAGAUCAGGGUUAGUGUUAGACUGGGGAACGAUCAGGGUUAAUGUUAGACUGCAGAAAGAUCAGGGUUCGAGUUAGAUUGCAAAGAGGUCAGGGUUAGACUGGCGAGAAAUCAGAGUUAGAGUUAGAUUGGAAAGAGAUCAGGUUUAGACUGGGAAGAGAGGGAUUGAAUUAGACAGGGCAGUUACUAGGCUUCAGUUAAGAGUAAGAGGGAGAAAUAUAAGUUAGAUUAUUUAGUUAGGGUGAGUCAGGAUUUUGCUUUAAAAGUAUUGUAUAAUGUAUAACUCAAGGAGAGGUUUUGGGGGGCAAAAUUUUGGAUUUUAGUAUGACCUGUAGAUAAGUUAAGGGUCAUUCCACGGAGAGGGCAAAGGCUAGCUCUGUAUACUCUCCGAAGAUUGUAUGAUGUGCAAGAUGGACCUUUUGUGCUUCCUCAUAAAUCAUCUUUUUGUUUAUUUGCAUGUUUUGGUAUCAGUUACAGUUCCUCUUUGCUCAGAAAGCAAAGCGAAAUUCGUCUUUUUCACAAGAAACUUCCCUAAUGCAGGAAAUCAGAUAUAGUCAGCGUUUCUCACAGGCUCUGGUUUUGGAAGAAACUGGGGAGAAAACUUGUGGCUUUUGCGGUUGGAUUCAGAUUAACCACCUUUAAGAAUCAAGAUGUAUUCCACCACCACUCCCAAAUGGUUUUAAAGCUAUGCAUAGUCAGGCAAGAGGAAUUUAAGAUUACUUUUAAGAGCUUAAAGCUCUCUCCGCUUCCUUCGUUUCUUGUUUCGCAGCUGUGAUUUUGGUCAGCAAGAUGGAGCACUCUUUACUCACUCUUUGAGUUGUUGAAAGUUUGGUAUUAAUAUUUUACAUCUGCUAAGGCUAUUUUAAUCAAGGCAAGUGCUUUGCCUUUUAAAGAUGACGGAAGAGAGAGGGGAAGUUUGGCCCUCUUUUGCUCCUUGCGGCAAUUUGACGGGAUGUCCUCGCCGGGGAACGAACAUCUGUCCGGCUGAUGAGUCCCACUUGCAGUGUGUUUCGCACCUGGAUCCUGGAGCCGGCCGACCGGAUUGAAUUUGCGGCAUCGCGGCUGGACACAACUAUUUGGCAAAGAACAGUGCGCCGUGGUGUCCUGAGUCAAACUGGUUGCCAUGGAGUCCCAGCUGAAACCACAAAUUACAGAUGACUACGGGCUAAAAAUCACACAAUCACAUGCUCCUUAAAGCGACAGGGAUGCAAGACAAUAAAUUACAAUUGCUAUCAAAACAAUACAAACUGUGGCAAAGACAAAUUAAUCGCUCGCAUUGUUCCGUUCCCAUUGUUGCGUACAUUGAUAUAGCUUUAACUUACAAGUGAAAGAUGAAAGUGUUUGGGACAAAUAAGUCUUAAGAUGUGUUGUUGAAGGCUUUCAUGGCCGGAAUCACUGGGUUGCUGUGCGUUUUCAGGCAUUAUGGCCAUAUUUCAGUAGCACUCUCUCCUGACAUUUUGCCUGCAUCUGUGGCUGGCAUCUUCAGAAGUCUGUUUGAAAUGAGGCAAGUGGAGUGUAUAUACAGUAGAGUCUCACUUAUCCAACAUAAACGGGCCAGCAGAAUGUUGGAUAAGCGAAUAUGUUGGAUAAUAAGGAUGCAUUAAGGAAAAGCCUAUUAAACAUCAAAUUAGGUUAUGAUUUUACAAAUUAACCGCCAAAACAUCAUGAUAUACAACAAAUUUGACAGAAAAAGUAGUUCAAUACGCAGUAAUGCUAGGUAGUAAUUACUGUAUUUACAAAUUUAGCACCAAAAUAUCACAAUACAGUAGAGUCUCACUUAUCCAACACUCGCUUAUCCAGCGUUCUGGAUUAUCCAACGCAUUUUUGUAGUCAAUGUUUUCAAUACAUCAUGAUAUUUUGAUGCUAAAUUCGUCAAUACAGUAAUUAUUAAAUAGCAUUACUGUGUAUUGAACUACAUUUUCUGUCAAAUUUGUUGUAUAACAUGUUGUUUUGGUGCUUAAUUUGUAAAAUCAUAACCUAAUUUGAUGUUUAAUAGGAUUUUCCUUAGUGCCUCCUUAUUAUCCAACAUAUUUGCUUAUCCAACAUUCUGCCGGCCCGUUUAUGUUGGAUAAGUGAGACUCUACUGUAUAUUGAAAAAAUUGACUACAAAAAUGCGUUGGAUGAUCCAGAACAUUGGAUAAGUGAGUGUUGGAUAAGUGAGACUCUACUGUAUAUAUAGUAGAGUCUCGCUUAUCCAACCUCCACUUAUCCAUCAUUCUGUAUUAUCCAACGCAGUUGGCCUUUUAGUAGUCAAUGUUUUUGUAGUCAGUGUUUUCAAUACAUUGCUAUAUUUUGGUGCUAAAUUCAUAAAUACAGUAAUUACUACAUUAUGUUACCGUGUAUUGAACUGCUUUUUUCUGUCGAUUUGUUGAAAAAUAUGAUGCUUUGGUGCUUAAUUUGUAAAAUCAUAAUGUAAUUUAAUGUUUAAUAGGCUUUUCCUUAAUCCCGCCUUAUUAUCCAACAUGUUCACUUAUCCAGCGUUCUGCCGGCCUGUUUAUGUUGGAUAAGUGGGACUCUACUGUACCUGUGGAAUAAUGCCCAGGGUGGGAGAAAGAACCCUUGUCUGUUUGAAGCAAGUGUGAAUGUUGUAAUUAACAAGCAUGAUUAGCAUUAAGUAGCCUUGCAGCUGCAAAGUCAACCAGAUAAGUCAGCUAUUUUUUUUCGUGUCAGGAGUGACUUGAGAAACUGCAAGUUGCUUCUGGUGUGAGAGAAUUGGCCAUCUGCAAGGCUGCUUCCCAGUGACGCCCAGAUGUUCAAUGUUUUACCAUCCUUCUGGGAAGCUUCUCUCAUGUCCCUGCAUGGGGAACUGGAGCUGACAAAGGAAGCUCACCCACUCUCCCUGUAUCAGAACCGCCAACCUAUCGGUCAACAGUCCUGCCGACACAAAGACUUAACCCAUUGCGCCACUGGGAGCUCCAAGUCAGCUAUAGCAGAGCACUUGAUGAACCAACCUGGACGCAGAAUAUUAUAUGAGAACACAGAAAUGCUGGACCACUCUGACAAAAAUCAUGUCAGGCUACACAGAGACGCCAUUGAAAUCCACACACAUGUGGACAAUUUCAACAGAAAGGAGAAAACCAUGAAAAGGAACCCAAUCUGGUUAUCAGUAUUAAAAAAACAUCAGAAUCAAGACAGUAAAUAAAGAACAACACUCAGAAACAGGUGAAGUCCAGACAGCAAACACUCAAGUGCCAGUUAACACCUCCCAAACAAAGGAUGCCUCCAGGCAACAACAACAGCCAGGCUACUUCUAUGCAGACACCUUCACUGAAUGACUUUGCAAACUUCAUGUCUACUCAAUGCUAGUUCAAGCUUGCUGAUUGCAAUAUUCACACUUGUUUCAAACAGACAAGGGUUCUUUCUGGGCACUCCACAGGUAUAUAAACACUCCACUUGCCUCACUGCCAAUAAAACCUCUGAAGAUGCCAUUAGCCACAGAUGCAGGCGAAGCGUCAGGAGAGAAUGCUGCUAUGGCAUGACCAUACAGCCCGAAAAACUCAUAUUCCCAUCUUUGUUCUUUCAGUAUGCAUUUUUCCACUUGGCAGGACGUUGUUGAACAAGGAGAGUCUUGAGAGUUGUUUUCCAACGCUAUGGUUUUGUAUUUAAACCAAUGAGAUCAGAAUUGCCCCAAAUCAAUCGACAUUAAUGUCUAGAUCUUUCCCCACUGGAUUAUACUUUUCUUUCUAAUGCAGCAUACAAAAAAAAACACCAUCCCAUGCUUUGUUUCAGUUAACCAAUGCAACUCAAAGCAUAGGUGAUCAGGACUGGUCGGAUUGUGUGUGUUUAUAAAUACAGUAGAGUCUCACUUAUCCAACACUCGCUUAUCCAACGUUCUGGAUUAUCCAACGCAUUUUUGUAGUCAAUGUUUUCAAUACAUCUUGAUAUUUUGGUGCUAAAUUUGUUAAUACAGUAAUUACUACAUAGCAUUACUGCGUAUUGAACUACGUUUUCUGUCAAAUUUGUUGUAUAACAUGAUGUUUUGGUGCUUAAUUUGUAAAAUCAUAACCUAAUUUGAUGUUUAAUAGGCUUUUCCUUAGUGCCUCCUUAUUAUCCAACAUAUUCGCUUAUCCAACAUUCUGCCGGCCAGUUUAUGUUGGAUAAGUGAGACUCUACUGUACUGGGAUUCAUUGUGAUCAGGGAAAUAUGGGACAUAUUUUUGUUAUUGUCAUUUGCUAUUAAAUUGAACUGGACUUAGAAAAUAUGAAUGAGUGACCACCAACAUUGUGAGGUUGUGAACCACCUUGCUCAGAUUUUGCAAACUUAGGGCUUCUUUUAUUACUCAACCCAACUUUAGUGGUUUCCCUCUUUUCCUAUUCCCACCCACUUUACCAGCCAUAGUAAGUUUUUUUUUCCAAUCAGUUAUGUCAUCUCAUGAUAUUCCUUUUCCUUUUCCCAUUUCGUAUCACUCUGCCUCGCGCCUGGGAUCUACGAAUUAGUCUCCUGUUUUUAACACUGUAUCCUGCUUGUUGAUUUUAAUGAUUGUUUUUAUUGAUGUUGAUGUUUUUUUACUGGGAUAAUUGUUUUAUUGCUUUGUUACUGUUUUGUUUGUUUUAUCGGGCCUGGCCCCAUGGAAGCCGCCCCGAGUCCCUUCGGGGAGAUGGGGUGGGGUAUAAAAAUAAAGUUAUUAUUAUUAUUAUUAUUAUUAUUAUUAUUAUUAUUAUUAUUAUUAUUAUUAUAUGACAACCUCAGUUUAAUCAUCUUAAGAAGAAUUCAGAUUUGACUUGUUAUUUCAGCAGAGUAAGUAAGUAAGUAAAAUGUGUUGUCGAAGGCUUUCGUGGCUGGGAUCACAGGGUUGUUGUAUGUAUUUCGGGCUGUGUGGCCAUGUUCCAGAAGUAUUCUCUCCUGACGUUUCGCCCACAUCUAUGGCAGGCAUCCUCAGAGGUUGUGAGGUAUGGAUAAACUGAGGAAGUAAAACUUUAUUUAUAUACCGCUCUGUCUCCCCGAUGGGUUUACAAGCAUAAAAACAGCAACAUACAUUACAAGCAACACAAUACACACAUUAUUAAACAAAAUUAAAGACCUAUACAACUCAUAAAACAAUGAAGACCAUAAGAAACAAUAACAACAACCAGAAGAAACAAAAAUACAUAAUCAGAUGGGUUGACCAUGUUAUCCUUUUAAUUGAUCCGCUUUUAAUUUUAUUUGUUGUUCCAUUCUAUAUUUUCUGACAAAUUGAUUUUUUGGGAUGGAAUACGCUUCCUUUUUGCAUGCACAAGCAUGCCUUUAGAUGUGGAACAUGCUUAUGCUUUCGAAUCGGGGUCAUAAAAUGUACCACUGUUCAAACAACCAAAUCAUUUUGAUCCUAGUGUGAGAAGGUUAAAUGCUUGAUAUAUAUAUUUUGUCAUACACUGCUCACUUUCCUUCCUUCCUCUCUCCUCACUUCUUAGUGGUUGUCUGUCAUCAUGAGUUAACUACAGGAUGGGAAUGGAAAAGGCUGAAAGAUAACCUCUUUUGCCCUUCUUUGAAAAGAACUUUGGAAAAAAAUUAAGUCAUCAAAUCCAUUUCUGCUCCUCUUUAUGUUGAUGGAGAACCCUUUGAGAUCCAGGAGCAAAACUGGGUGUUUUACUCUUGAGUGUUGAGAGAUGCAGGCAACGAUUUAUAAUGGACCGUUCAAAGAGAAAGGUUUAUAUACUUUACUAGCUGUGCCCGGCCAUGCGUUGCUGUGGCUUAGUCUGGUGGUGUUGGUCAGUCUACAUUAGGUUGUAUUUAUGCUGUGACCUCCGCCCUUCUUUAUACUCUCAUUAGUAGUAGUAUUUGAAGUCUGUUACCUUCUUCAAUUUUUGUGUUGAUUGAUAAUUGCUUGAGAUCCCUGUUGUCUUUGGUUUGUUGUUAAUCGUGAUGUCUGAUUCUGCUGAGUGCGGUUUAUAUCUUAUUGAGGUACAAUAGUCUUUUUUUUGUUUUGCCUGUGUAGGUGUUUAUUAUUAUUAUUGUUGUUGUAGUGGUCGUGAAGGCUGGAUAAGUUAGAUGCUACUGUAUUGUUUUUUGGAGGCCCAGUGUAGCACUGACUGGCCUUUCAGCCUCAGUGCCUGGCUGCUUCUUGCCUGUGAUGGUGUUGAUUCUUAUUGUUAUUGUUGUCAUUGUUAUUAUUGUAAUUGUUUUUUUGGAGGCCAAGUGUGAAUGUAGGGAUUGGGGAGGUGGAUGAGCACUGAAUGGCCUUGUAGCCUCAGUGCAUGGCUGAUUCUUGCCUGUGUAGGUAUUUAUUAUUAGUGGGUGAGUGGAUGGAUAGAUGAGUGGAUGGAUAGAUAGAGUGGGUGCUCUCCUUGUUUCCUUUAUUCCUAUGCUGUUCUCUUUCUCUGCUCUGAUCCUGAGCUUGCUGAUAACACACUGGUCAGAAAGGAGGGUAAAUAUAACUGGAUCAAUGGUCUUUCUCUCCCUUUUGCUCUUGGCCUUCCGGGCAGAGAGGGAGGGCUCUUGUCCUUGGCGUUCCUUCGCUUCCCUCCCUCUCUCCUUCCUUCGUUCUAUCCGUUCCAGCCUUUCCUGCCUGCGGAGCCAUGGAACUGGGUCAGUGGGUUGGAUGGCGGGGAAAGGGAGAAGGAAGAGGCCUCUAAUUGAAAUGCAUGGACUCCAUGCCAUGGGGUGCUGGAAUUUGUAGUUUGCAUCCAGUCCAACCCCUUUCUUUCUUUUUGUCAUGGAGGAAGAACCCACCCAAAUCUCUCCGACAGAUGGCCAUCCGGUUUAGUUGUGUUGUUAUAGUGACGAUGCAUUGUUGUGAGUUUUAUGGGUUCUGAUUGUGGUUUUGUGGUGUCGUUGUGUUGUUACAACCAGGAGGCAAGGCUUUUGCAUUGUGUUGUCAAGUUUUGUAUUUCUGGGGCGUUUAGUUGUGUGCCAAGUUUCGUAUUUCUGGGGCGUUUGGUUGUGUUGUUAUAGUCACGAUGCGUUGUUGUGAGUUUUGUGGGUCCAGUGUGUUGUUGUGGUGUGAUUGUGUUGUUACAACCGGGAGGCAAGGCUUUUGCAUUGUAUUGCCAAGUUUCGUAUUUCUGGGAUGUUUAGUUUUGUUGUUAUAGUCACUGCCCCCACAACUUUAUCCUUUUAUAUAUAUAGAUAAACUGAGUUUUAAUCUGCUUUCUGUCAGAAGUAUUAAAAAUUAACUAGGUAUUUUUAAUUACAAAAAUGUGAGUCAAGCACUGAAAGGGUUAAAUGGAUGCAAUGACUCAGCAAAAGCUUCAGUUCAAUGUAAGCAAGUGUGCCUGUAGCUGAGUAGGCCUCAGUGUGAGGGAGGGCCUCUGUAUGAUAGGGCUUCUGUGUGAGGGUGAGCCUCAGUGUGAGGUAAGCCUCAGUGUGAGAAGCUCCGGUGUGAGAAGCUUCGGUGAGAGAAGCCCCAGGUUGUAGGUGUUGCCUUUGUGUGAUUCCGAUGAAGAUUCUGGGUUAUAUGUGCAUAAUGAUGGGAUUCAGGAUGAAUUUGAGGAUGACGCUGAUGCUGGGAAUUCUAGGAGCGUUUCAGCUGUGGGAAAUGAAGAGCAGGGAGUUGUUCCCAUGGGAAUUAAUCAUGAUGUUGUUUCUAACGAGGAAUUUCAGGUGCAGGGAGAAGAAAGGGAGGAUAACACGUUGCCUCCUGAUAAUGGGCUCAGUGGCCUUGACUCUGGGGAUCUCGAUCGGCUACAAGACUGGAAUUUAGAGGGUUGCCGAGAAGCCUUCACAUAACCAAUAAAUGAGAAUUCAAAGGGCAAAGGAACGCUUUUAUGUCAUGCUUUUAAAACAGUCUGCUCGCAGAGAGAUCUCUGUCAAUGCAACUCCAUUUCUUGAUGUAGAAGCAAGUCAGUUUCCCUGUGCCAAGUUUUGCUUUCCUGUAAUAUCUCGUGGAUAUAUUCUGUUUUCUGGGACUUUUGGCUUCUGUGGAAAGGACCUUGUUUUACGCUCUAUGUUUCUAUGGACUUAUUGCUUACAGCCUUGGUUUUGUACCUAUCUUUUGGAACUGAACUUUUACCCUUUUAUGAACUAUCUUUUGCCUAUUUUCUAAAUAAACUACAAAAGACUACUUCCUGUGUGUGGCUUGGUGUCUCUAGCAAAGUGAAGCUAACAUGAGGUGCAACAGUAGGCCUCGUGAGAGAAGUUCCAAUGUGAAGGUUACUGUGUGUAAUGCUACUUUGUGAAGCUCCUGUGUAAGUUCAGUGUGAGAGGAGGCUCUGUGAGAGAGAAGCUGUUUAUCUGCAAGAGAAAGAAGCCCAGCGUGGAAGCAAAGAUGAAAGUCUAAAGAACUUUGUGUUAUGGAAAUCUUGUUUUUGUAACUAUAUAAACAUAUUAUUUUGCUAUAAAGAAAAGCCUCCUAAGGAAGACAUAACAUUGGUCUCUCUCUGUGUGUGUGUGUUUUUUUUAAGAAUUUUAUUAAUUUUUUUAUACUACAACGAAAGAGUGAGAACAACCAAGGUAUAGAAAAGUAGGGAAAAGAGAGAAAGGUAAAAGUCUACAAUCUACAAAAAUAUACCUACACAAAAAAAGCCAAAAAAAAAUGACUUCCAUUCCAUCUUCUUGGAUAAUAUUUUCUUAUUAUUCAAUAAUAUUUUUUUCUUGCUAAGGAGGAAAAAAAAAGCAAAAUUGUCUCUCGUAAUCUUCAUUUUCUCAAAUUAUCCAUAUACUCCUGAAGAUCAUCCCAAUUCGUUCUUUUCAUUGUCUUGCCUGUAUUUUUCUUCAACAAAAAAGUCAGUUUGUCCAUAUCCUUUAUUUCUCUUACCUUCUCCCACUCAAUUGGUGGGACUAAUUCCUGUUUCCAUUCUCUAGCGAAGACAAUUCUAGCGGAAGUCGUAAUAACAGUAAAAAGUUUAUCUUCUUGUUCCGUCAAUUGUAAGUCUAAAUCUGUAAAUCCUAAUAGAUAAUACUCUGGUUUUCUUAUAAAUGUUCUUUUUAAAAUCUUUUCUGAUUCUUCAUGAAUCUUCAUCCUAAACUUUGUUGCUCUGUGUGUUUUUGUGUUGUUGAAGGCUUUCAUGGCCGGGAUCACAGGGUUGUUGUAUGUUUUCCAGGCUGAAUGGCCAUGUUCCGUCUACACAGGGUUCCUUACUUUGUACUUUAACAACACAACCGUUCAAUGCUAAGGCUUCCCUCCAAAUGGAACUGUAGAGGAGAGUCUACUGAACAAGCCAGGACCUGACGCAGACUGCCAUCUGUUGAGGAGUUACGAAGGUGGAGGCAUUACUUUUCAUUCAACCCUCGUAGCAUUUGUAUCCUGCUUACUUUCUCUCAAUGACGUGAAGCUGUGCCUGCCUCUUCUUUCCCCCCCCAAAGCUAGGGCAGUGGCAUCUUUCAUUUAUAUCCCGCCUCCUCUUUCCUGCCUCAAGGAAACUUCCAAAAAUUAAAAGCAAAUUCACAUUGCUAAAGACAUACAAAAAUUAAAAUUUAUUUUAAGAUGUUGAUAAAAUCAAGAGCAAUUUAAAAGCAUAUCUGUUAGAGAAGAGAGAUGCUUCGUCUCAAGUUGGAAACUGAAACAUUUUGGUCAUGUUAUAUUUUUAGUUCUGCUCAUCGCUUCAUUAAAUGCACAACAAAACAACAGAUGUAGAUGAUGCAGAACAUUGUGACAGGCUCUUUCUCCAUCUGCAGUGAGUCCUUAAAACCAAAUUGAAAUAAAAAGGUCUCUUUGCCUCCAAUGGAAGUUUACUAUGGAAGAUAAUGUCUCUUGGAAGGGAGUUCCAGAUCCUGGGAGUAGCCACCAAAAAGGCCCUCUUCUGUGAUCCCAUUUAAUUACGAUGGUUGAAUGAAAAGUAAUGCCUCCACCUUCGUAACUCCUCAAGAGAUGGCAGUCCUGGUCUGCGGCAAGUCCUGGCUUGUUCAGUAGACUCUCCUCUACAGUUCCAUUUGGCGGGAAGCCUUAGCAUUGAACAGUUGUGUUGCUAAGUGCAAAGUAUGGAACCCUGCGCAGACGGUCGGUCAAUGCGACUUAAGCAACGUGCAGUCAUUGAAUUCUUGACAGGAGAAGGUGUCACCCCAAAGGAGAUUCAUCAGAGAAUGCAAGCUGUUUAUGUUGAUUGUGUUGAUGUGAGGACUGUUCAUUGUUGGGCGAGUAAGUUUAAAGGUGUUGAGGUGGGAACAUCUGACUUGUGUGACAGAGUUGGACGUCCUGUGACAGCAACCACCGAGUUUCUCAAGCAAAAGUUUGACAGAUUGAUUCAGGACGAUCGACGUAUCACUCAGAGAGGAAUUUCAAGCAUAAUCGGCAUUUCACAAGAACAUGUGGGUCACAUUAUUGCUUUGCUUGUCUAUCAGAAGAUCUGUGCACGAUGGGUCCUGCGAGAUGCCAGUUGCGGAAACAGAGUGUCGACUUCUUCUGUGACGGCUUCAGAAAACUUGUUUAUUGUUGGCAGAAAUGUAUCCAACUAUCUGGUGGUGAUGUGGAAAACUUAAUAGUGGUAGUUAAAGAGCACAUUCUAAGGAUUUU